CUGUAGUAAUAAAUAGAAACGGACACAACGUUUAUCUUAUUGACUGCAUCGUUCUGGCGCUUUCUAUAUACUGAAAAAUUGUGUGCAUCUGUCCGGAACUUCCUGUUCCCCCACUAACACCGUCCAUACAUUCCGGGAUCCUUGGGAUGACCCAACCCCAUUACAUGAGAAGGGGUCGCUACCUCCUCCGUGACACAUUUUUAUUUUUUACUAAGCAAGUCAGUUAAGAACAAAUUCUUAUUUUCAAUGACGGCCUCGGAACAGUGGAUUAACUGCCUUGUUCAGGGGCAUAACGACAGAUUUGUACCUUAGUAAGGCCGACUUGAAUUAAGUCUGAGUUCGGUAACAUCAACAGUGAGGACAAACCCAGCCUGCCUCUCUCCUUCCACACUGAGUCCAAACCUACAGUCACUGGGUCCUGAUUGUGACAGUGGAGCCCAGUUUGGUCACAUGCAUUUCACAUGAUAUCCAUCUGCGUUCCAUCUGUCCUCUAGACAGAAAGGAAUUCUCUGGUUCGAACUUUAUUGAAGAUUUAUGAUAAAAACAUCCUAAUGAUUGAUUCUAUACUUAAUUUGAAACGUUUCUUCGACCUGUAAUAGAACUUUUGGAAGUUUUUGUCCCAAGUAAUCCUCGACCUGAAGGAGCGUUUGGAUAUGUAUACCAAACGAGCUAACAAAAGGAUCUAUUUGGACAUAAAUAACAGACAUUAUCGAACAAAUCAAACAUUUGUGGAACUAGGAUUCCUGGGAGUGCAUUCUGAUGAAGAUCUUCAAAGGGAAUAUUUAUCAUGUAAUUUAUGGUUUCUGUUGACUCCAACAUGGUGGCUAAUUUGGUUAUUUUUGAGUGCCAUCUCAGAUUAUUGCAUGGUUUGCUUUUUCCAUAAAGUUUUUUUGAAAUCUGACACAUUGGUUGCAUUAAGGAGAGGUAUAUCUAUAAUUCCAUGUGUAUAACUUGUAUUAUCAUCUACAUUUAUGAUGAGUAUUUCUGUUGAAUCUAUGUGGCUAUGCAAAAUCACUGGAUGUUUUUGGAAAUAGUGAACGUAACGCACCAAUGUAAACUCAGGUUUUUUUU